GUUUCCUUUAGUGUAUUCUCCUUCUGUUUUACCUUUUCAUUUAUGAGUAUAUACAGUUUUCUAAUUCUACAUUGAAUAAUUACUUGUAAAACAAUACAUAUUAUAGAUACACAUACAACAAUGAUAAAUGGAUGAAAUAAAAUAUUUACAAUUGCUGAUCCCACAGAUGAUUUAGCAAGUGUGUUUGUACUUUUAAUUAUGUCAUUCCACCAAGAGGAACUAGAAACAAUUGACCAUUCAUGUUCUAUCUCCUUUAAUUUACCCUGUUCAUGUUCAAAUUGAAUUUCUGUUUCUCUCAACUGUUUUUGUAACGAAUAUAAUAAUAUCUUGUCUUUCCUAAUCUCAUCUGCCCACUUUCUCCAUGGAAACUCAUUUGUUUGUGAAACAUUUAAUUGAAUAGGCAUGAUAUCUAUAUCUUGUAUAGGACUAUUCGAUAUGUUAACUUGAG